GGAAACCAGGUGAGUCUACAGGAAAUAAUUCUUAAUGUCUGACCCAGCACGUAAACAGGGAACAUUCCAUAAAACCUGCGAAGGGAGACCAGAGAGAGCUGUCAGUCAAAACCAGGAAGAGGAAGGAGGCUCAGAGGAGGAAACUGGAACACAGGCUUCAGAAAAACAACACCAGAGAAGUGUGGAGGGACACGAGGACCAUCACUGGCUACAAGUCCAGCAGCAGGUGACUGAGGGGUCCAAGGACGUGUUGUGGUGUCCUCCAACACAUCUUCAACCUGAGCCUGCAGCUGGAGACAGUUCCUCUUGGCUGGAACCAGUCUGAUCACAUUGACAUAAACUAACAGUAAAUCACAGAGACAUGCUUUGACUCACACAAUGACUCUGACUCUAACUGCUGAGUUUAUUGAACUGUGCAGAGAAUACAGUUAAGGUUGACAUUACAAUCAAAAUUGUAGAAGUGAUGCAGAAUCCUACACAUUCUGUUUCUGUUUUUACUUAUUGAUGCAUUAACUUCACUGAACCUGCAUCUUCACUGAGUAGUUGGUCCAAAGAUGGGGCUAAUUUUAUCACUAUAUCUGUAACUGGACUCCCUCAUCUAAAAUAACACUAUCAGUUCAUGAGCUGGUUAAUGUGUAACAAAGAGAUUAACCUUGCACAGCAAUGAGGUUUUAUCUGAUCUGAUAAUGACUGUCACACAGAAACUCUGAAACCCUGGUCAGAGUCCAACAACUGUGUCACAUACACACUUCUACAGAUUCAGAAAAAAAAGAAGGUGGAUAAACAGGAAAAAGAAGAAUCUUAAUGCGACAGAAAAGACAACUCUCUCAUCUCCUUUUUUAUAGGAAAUUUCCAUCACAGUCACUAAGACAUGAAUGCACUGGGAUGGACUGGCAACCUGUCCACUGUUUACCCUGCCCCUUGUCCAUAGCCAGCUGGGAUAGGCUCCAGCCCCCCGCGACCCCACGUACGGGACUAAGCUAAGAUGGAUGGAAGUGAAUGCAAAUCUGAAAUGUCAGUACUGUUUCUAUAUGAGGCAUAUUGUAAAGGACCUUGUGCAAAACACUUAAGGCUUUAACUCGUGUAUGAACCCCUCUCUGCAGGUGAAUUUAAAUACUGCAUGUCUACAGUGAAACGCUGAUGCAGUGGCUGGUGAGCAGCACUAAUUACUGCAGCUGGCUUUUCUGCGUAGACUUUGUAUAUUCUGUCUGUGGCUUUUUACUGUUUUUUGUAUAUAUGACUAUGAUUGUGCAGUUACUUGCUGAUGAUGGCCAUGCUUUUGUGUCAUGCAAAAAAUUAAAUUGGAGGCUGAAAUUGGAAGCUGACGAAGCAGAAACUGCUUGUUGUAUAUUCAUGCUACACAAUUUAGUCAACAACUGCCACUGCUUGGUGUUCCACAGAGAAGAACUUCUAAAGAUUUUAAAUGCUGUGGAGUUUUACAAACCACAAUAGAUUGACACUCUGUGACUGGGUUGGACUAGAUGGCAGGGCAAUUCUUUGACCACAAGGUCCGAAAACACUAGACCACUCAACUUAGAGACGGUGUGACUUAAAAAUGUCCCCAAAUGAACAGAUACACACACACACACACACACACACACACACACACACACACACACACACACACACACACACACACACACAAACAGAACAGAUUUGCCAUUAAACACUAGACAAAGUGUGGAACAGGGGCAGUUACUCUGAAGCUUUUUUUCAUGCCACGAACAAAUCUGCAGAGUAACUGACAGAAAAAAAUCUCAGGAAGUACACACUAACAGGAUAAUCAUAAAAAAUCUUACUAAGACAAAAUAAACUGACUUAUGAACUGAGGAGGAGAAACCUUAAAUGCACAAAAUCAGGACACAGGUGCAAGUGAUGAUAAUAAUUACCAGAUGCAAUUCAUAUAAGUCCAAAAUAAACUUUUUAUUACAGUAAGUGGAACUGAAAGCAUUGAAAGUUUCAAUAUAUAUAUAUAUUCCAACACGUAAGGAUGUGUUGCACCAGGAAGACAUUAGCAUCUAUAGCACCAUAAAACUGUAGAAGAGUCCCACUAAGAAUGUAUUUCUCAUCAUCAGUGACAAGUGUAAUGGAAAUUUCAUGUAUGUGAAAGUAUUUUCUAUUGGCAUAGAACUUAUAUAUGUAAUCCAAUGAGUAAUGCUAUUUGUUCGAUGUGUUAUGAAACAUUGCAUUUAGCAUAAGAUGAUGAAAUCUAUGAACACUUUGUUCUUCGUAUGUUACACGUUUCACUGAGUUGUUACAUUUUGACUCCUUAGCAACAAUGGAGAUAUUAAGGGAGGCACAGAGAGAGAGAUUUCAGAACUACACUCUCGCAGGGCAACUGCACCUUUUCCUGUGUACUUCUCUUCUUGCAAGAAUAAACCAACAGUAAGACAA